rnacentral:lncRNA from 1 species
GGCCUUGCUCUUAUGUCAUCUGACUAAAGGUUUCAUAGACCAAAGAUAACCAUCCAACUUGUUGGAAUACUGAAACAAUUGCUGCCUGUUGUCCACACACCACUUAAAUAUGUGGAUUUCCUAAAUUCUGCAAAAAAGGUUUGGAAGCUGAUCAAGCAAUACUGGAACUCCCUCUUCUCCAGAAGAGACAUCCUGGCCUCCAUGCAAAGAAAUGUGUAGAUGGACAUAUAUUUAAGGAAGACACUAAACCAGAAACUACUACAUUACACCCUCUUAGAAGACUUCUAAGAUUGUUGUCAUGCCUACAACAGACAUUCAGAUGAUGUGUAUUGUUGAUUGUGAUUUCAUAUUUGGACCUGAUGAAGGAGUUUGAAGUCUCCAGAGCAGCAAAGAGAGUGGGGAGUAGAACUAUUCAUCUUUAGGUCACUCAUCAUCG